UGUAUGUUUCACAAGCCGCCAUUAUUACUUAUGUCCACGAUGAAACUCUAUCGCUUUCUCUAUAAAUUGUUAAAUUUAAUUUAAAUACACAUCUACACAUAAUAUUGUUCAAAGAUAUAUAUGGCUAAGUCUCAAUUUCAGUAUUCUGCCUUUAUUGCUCUCUUCCUUUUCUUCCUUGUUGCAUCAACUGAUGUGCAAGUAGUAGAAUCAAUUGGUUGUGAAAAGGGAAUAAUGUGGUUUGGACCUUGCUUUGAUACUCAUGAAUGUGACAACAAAUGUAUCAAUUUGGAACAUGCAAUUCAUGGAGCUUGUCACAUGGAUUGGUUUGGUCCCGUUUGCUAUUGUUACUUUUGUUGAUAUAGGAUUUCUAUUGUCGUGAUUGAUUCUAUCAAUUGAAAAAUAAUAAAAGAUAUGGUGUUUGUAAUAAAGUUGGAAAUUUAUAAGAUGUAUGAGUAUAUAUUUUAUUGAUCAUUCUACCAAAGUAUAAAUCAUUUUGGUGUGUAAGUUUCUCCUAAUAAUAUCAACACCUAUAUCUCAUUAUCUCGUAA